GGGCAAUUAGUUUAGAUGUAAAGCGUUUGCUUAGCGUGUGAGAGGUAGCGGGAUCGAUGCUCGCAUUGUCCA
rnacentral:tRNA from 1 species